UACGUAGGGUGCGAGCGUUAAUCGGAAUUACUGGGCGUAAAGCGUGCGCAGGCGGUUAUAUAAGACAGAUGUGAAAUCCCCGGGCUCAACCUGGGAACUGCAUUAGUGACUGUAUAGCUGGAGUGCGGCAGAGGGGGAUGGAAUUCCGCGUGUAGCAGUGAAAUGCGUAGAUAUGCGGAGGAACACCGAUGGCGAAGGCAAUCCCCUGGGCCUGCACUGACGCUCAUGCACGAAAGCGUGGGGAGCAAACAGG
rnacentral:rRNA from 1 species